rnacentral:rRNA from 1 species
UUCAGAGGGUGCAAACGUUGUUCGGAAUUACUGGGCGUAAAGCGUGUGUAGGCGGCCCCGCAAGUCGGAUGUGAAAGCCCCGGGCUCAACCCGGGAAGUGCACCCGAUACUGCGAGGCCAGAGUACCGGAGAGGUUGGUGGAAUUCUCGGUGUAGAGGUGAAAUUCGUAGAUAUCGAGAGGAACACCGGUGGCGAAGGCGGCCAACUGGACGAGUACUGACGCUGAGACACGAAAGCGUGGGGAGCAAACAGG